rnacentral:rRNA from 1 species
GACGAACGCUGGCGGCGUGCUUAACACAUGCAAGUCGAACGGUAAGGCCCUUCGGGGUACACGAGUGGCGAACGGGUGAGUAACACGUGGGUGAUCUGCCCUGCACUUCGGGAUAAGCCUGGGAAACUGGGUCUAAUACCGGAUAGGACCACUGCCUGCAUGGGUGGUGGUGGAAAGCUUUUGCGGUGUGGGAUGGGCUCGCGGCCUAUCAGCUUGUUGGUGGGGUGAUGGCCUACCAAGGCGACGACGGGUAGCCGGCCUGAGAGGGUGGCCGGCCACACUGGGACUGAGAUACGGCCCAGACUCCUACGGGAGGCAGCAGUGGGGAAUAUUGCUCAAUGGGCGCAAGCCUGAUGCAGCGACGCCGCGUGAGGGAUGACGGCCUUCGGGUUGUAAACCUCUUUCAGCACCGACGAAGCGCAAGUGACGGUAGGUGCAGAAGAAGGACCGGCCAACUACGUGCCAGCCGCCGCGGUAA